CAGAAUUUUACAUUACAUGAAAAUAGUAGCGCCAGUAGCAUGCACCAGGGAGUUUUGGCAGAGAAAAAAAAAGUGUCACACCUAUUUGCGGUUGGUGGUUUGAUUGAAGAUGAUGGUUUUACUGCAUCAAGAGAAGGGCUGUCUGUUGGAUUAGGAGAUACUGUAAUCACACAGCGGGAUACUCUAAAUCUUUAAAGAAACCAAAAUCUCAGACAGCAGUUCAUGAUAAUCU